rnacentral:lncRNA from 1 species
UAGAGUUAGAGUUUUUUUUGUGUUUUAUUUAAUUUAAAGUUGGUUUUAUUUCAAGUAAUGUUAUGGGUGUUAUAGUUUUAUUGAGAUACUAUUAUAUUUUUCUAUAAAUGUUUUUGUCAGUUUUACAGUUUUAAUAUUUUUGAAUGUAUAUGUGUGUGUGUGUGUGUGUGUGUGCGCGCGCGAGAGAGAGAGAGAGAGAGUUUAUUUGCAUAAACAGGUAACUUUUAUAAUUUUCAAACGUUUUUAUUGUGUUAUAAUGUUUUUAUUGUGUUAGUUAACUUUGUUUUUAUAGUUAUUUUUGUAUUGUUAUUUAGUCAAAACAACCCAACAGCAUAACUGAUAUUAAUUGGAAUGCAGGAUAAAAACAAAACAAAUACAAAACAUCAUUUUUGAAAAUUUUUAAGUUUUAAGUUAUUUUUGCAAAUUAACUCUUCAUAUAUAAAACGUGUAUUACAGUAUAUAUUACAUAAAUAUACAUAUUAUUAUCAGAUGUAUAUGCAUUCAUUUUGAAUAUGUUUCCAUCCGGCUUUGAUUUGAUGGUUUCACAGAAGCACACUUCCAUGUCAGACGUGUUUGACUUUGAGCAACGUCCUUAAUUAUUCAUGAGAUGACGCAACAUCUGCCGCGUGCGCUUCUUUAUGUAUUAUUAUUCAGUUUUUAGAUAUGAUUAGUGUGUAUGAGUUUAUAAAUGUUCACUGAGAUCAUUUAAAUAGAGUUGUUGUGUGUUCGUGAAGUGUUGAAUCAUGCUGAGCGCGUGACUGCGGCUGCGCCUGCGCGCGCGACCCACGUGCUUUGUCCCGGCAGGCGCAUGCUCGAGCGAGCGAACAUGGCGACGCGCUGCACGUCUCGCGUUACCGGACAGUGAGACACGCCGAGAGAGAGAAAAGGAGAAACGGUUUUGUCUGUAGGUGCUGCCUCUCGAUGCAGAUGCUCCGGGUGAAAUGAAUAAGGCACCUCAGCCUCUGUCAGGACCCCCCUCCGCCCCGCUUCCCGCGCCCUCCCCGGGUCUGUCCCAGCCCAGUUUUCCUCCUGCUCCGGUUGUGUUCGGCACCCCUCCACCACAGAUGAACCCCGCCGCCCAACCCCGACAGGUACGCAUCACUUCCUGUGGGCCUGCUGGGUCAUUGCCCCAUUCGUUUUCCCCAUUGGCAUUUCAAGAUUCAAGAAAGAACCAAACCAGUCAGAAUGUGUUACAUUCAAUAUACAUUUUAAAGGUAUUUAGAUAUUAAAGACUUAAGCAUCAGAAAAACACCAUAAAGCAGAGAUUCCCAAAAUCUGUGAGCUUAAAUAUUUACUUGUAGUCUCACCGAGAUUCUAAUUUAUUUCAAUAAUUAAGCACAUUGAUAUGGUCACAGUUCUCAGAAUCAGUGGUUACAUGACAUGGAGGUAAACAAAUACACUUUCACCUUUUUAGUAAGUGUUUUAUUUUCAUGUUUUUAAUUUUUUUAAAUGCUAUGGUUGUUGGGAAAACCUGCCGUAAAAACACUUUCAAAGAUAGAAUCAAAUUUAAUACAAAAUUAGUACAUUCUGAUUUUUUUCCAAGAAAAAGAAGUUUAAUAAUUCAUAUUAAAAAUAAAUAAAUGUGAAAAUUAAAAAAAAUUAAAUAUAAUAAAAGUAUUGUUUAAUUUCUAUUAAAGUAUUUGUUAUUAAUUAAUAACCUGUUUAUUUUACAUUUAAAAUUUGUUUUAGUAAUUUAGUAAGCG